AAAAAGGAGUCUAUUUCUUAAGGAAAGAUAACCAUGCUUCUAUUCAGCAAGUUCUAUUUUGGCAACUGCUUGGAGAGUCUUAUAAGUGUUAAAGCAAGUUAAUUUCCCCUUUCACUCUUCUAAGUGAUUAAUUCCUGGGAACUAGAGUUAGGCAUUCCAGUUCGUGACAUUUUAAACACACCUACACAUAGACACAGUACAAAGUGCACAUUUCAGAGGGGAUUUUUAUGACUAUGUUAGGAUCUGUCUUAGAAAUCCAUAUCAAGCACUUGGGUGGGGUAGAGUGUGAUUACAGUUUAGAUUUAAAAAGGAAAUGAAAAGAAUAGGGGAAAAAAGAGAGAGAACCCACUGACAGCUUAAACUGAAAGACUCGGUUCAGACCCGGCAGCCCAAAGUUUGGGUGUUUACCUUAAGUUGCUUCACCUUUCCUCCGCCUGCCCCUUCUUCCAGGGAGGAAGCCAGGGUUCAUGGUUGCUCUGAAGCCGGAAUAAAACAGCCCCUUGUGCUUCCUGCCUGUUCCAAUCCAGACCGCGAUGAGGCCCAAAUGAGCCUUUUCUUCUCUUUGUCCUUGUCAGCAAGAGUCUGAUAAUUUCCUGUCGAUUCCCUCAUCAAAGGCACCAGGCUCUCAUCUCUUUGAUGCAUCUCUCCUCAGACUCUGAAGAUAGCCAGACCCCGUUGAGAAACCCCUUGUUUCCACUUAGAAGCUCCAGGCUUGGACCUUCUCAAAAACUUCCUGUUCUCCUUUGUUCGUGUUGGAAAAAAAAUGAGACCAGAUCCAAGCAGGGAGUGGAUUUCCUCAAACUGCAGUGGGCUCCAACUGUGCCUUCCCCAGGCAGAGGGAGAACAGGGAGAGAGAUGCCUGGGAAUACCAUUUCUGAAUCAGCACUCCAGGUAGAAACUUCCACUGUUGGAAAGUUAGGGGAAAAAAGGGAGAAGACCUCACACUUUUGAUCUGUGUCUGAUUCCUGGCUCUGUCACUUACUAGCUGUAUGGUUUGGGGUAAUAUUUAUAUUUCUGUGAUCGGGGGUUUGCAAAUCUGUAAAAUGGGAAUUGUUAUCUGUGUCAACAUUGUUGUAGAGAUUCAGUGUCCCCCCCCAUACCUAAAACAAUAAGUUCUGUGCUAGAAACAGGCUCAAUGAAUUAAAAGAAUGAUAAUAACAAUGAUUAAUUAUGAGAUCUGAAUUCUACACCUAAAAAUGACCUGAGCAAGAAAGAAGUUGUGUUGAAAUUUUGAAUUAUAAUAAUUAUGGAUAUUAAUAUUUUCUUAAAUGUAACUAGUAUUAAAAAUUCCGGUCAAAAUAUUUUGACAGUUAAAAAGUUACUUACAUUCUAAGGAUUGUUUUGGUCUUAUAGGAUUAGCUGUGCCUCUCUUGAGGAAAGGCCCUGAGUUCAUGUCUUAGAUCUGACACAAAUGCAUUGAGGCAUCUUGGGUAAGUCAUUCCCUUUGCUCUGAUCUUCAGGUACCCUCCUUGUAAUGAGAGCUUGCCCAAGAUGAGCUUUGGAGAGGUUCCUUCCAGAGCUGAAAUUCUCAAGUCUUCUACUCAGUAAAAUCAAAGCAUCUUGUAAUUCCCCUUUCUGCCACUAGGAGCAAUCAGCCAAUAGUCUCAGGUUGAUAAGACCUGGCUUUCAGAACUUCUGUCUGAAUCACAUGCUUUUCAACCCUAAACAUUUGUCAUCCAGAUGCUGAGAAGCUGCCGCAUGAGCUGACAUUGUCUACCUUGCUCAUCUUCCAGUCUCCACCUUGACAACACAAGUCCCACUUACCUUUCUGCUAUUGUUCAAACGAAGAGCUGCUUCAGGGCUCCAUGAGAACAGACCACCUUAUGCACAUGGUGCAUAUACACCUCAAAAAGAUCAUCUGCAGAUGAAUGAAGAAAAUGUGGCAUAUAGGCCCAAUGGAGUACUAUUCAACCAUAAAGAAGAAUGAAAUCAUGUCAUCUUCAAGAAAAUGCAUAGAAUUGGAGGCCAUUGUUCUAAGGGAAACAAGGUAGAAGUACACAUUAUGGGUUGCAGUAUCUAGAAAAAGGCUCUCUGGAGAGUCCUUGCAGGAUAACUUAAAACUUUGAAGAAUACAGUGGACUCCAAUGUCUGUUCUUCAGCUUUGCAAGUCCAAGAAUUCAGUCUUGUCUGAGCUUCAGAAAUGGUGAUUGAUUCAAGCAUUGAUCAUGUUUUCCUAACACUUGAGUUGUCUGAGUGUUGAGAGGAGGCCAUCUGGACAGAAGCUUAUUGUCUCAACACUUUGGGGGUCAUGAAGACAAUUUUUCCUGAGAGGGGCCCAGUGUGUAUUUUAAGGUGCUACGGCUCCAGGAAGUUCUUUUUGCUUUGAUUGAGUACUUUGAUCAGUUGGAGAUUGAAACACUGGGAUUCAGAGUCAAAGUAGAGCUACACUGCAAAAGUCAGGGUAUUCUACUCCUCAACUUCAUGGGGUGCCAUUAACAUCAAAUCUGGGAAGUGAUUAUGGAAAUUAUUCCUCAUAAUGAUCCAAGUCACUAAAAGAAUUAAAAGGAAACUAUAUAGAAGUCGCAGAUGGUGGAGACAUGUUUACUGUCUUUUUACUGGAGAAUCAACUUCUAUUCACUCCUCAUAAGAAAGUAAAUAUGUGGAUGAAGUUGGUCACCAAGAGAAUUCUAAAUCUGCGUUUUAGAUAACAACACAAGGAUGUUAAAUCAUGCAACGUAAACUCUCUUCCCCCAGAGUGGUUUUUUGGGGAACCCCUUAAAAUUUAUUACUGAGUGAGCCAUCUCUUCGGUUCUGGGUCUGUUGCUCAAUCCCUGCCCAAAUCCAAAUGGAAUGGAAGACAAAAUUCAUUUUGUCUUGAAAUGAGCUUCUGCCUAAAGCCAAGGUGAAGAGAAAUUACCACAGCCAUGUCAGAACAGCAUUUUUCACAACAGCUAAAAGAUGGAAGGAAUAAAGGUCCACCAAUGGAUAAACAAAAUAUGGUAUUCACAUACAAAGGAAUAUUAUUCAGUCUUAAAAUGGAAGAAAAUUCUGACUAAUGUUACAACAUGAAUCAACUUUGAGAACAUUAUGGUAAAUGAAAUAAGCCCAUCACAGAAAGACAAAGGCUGCAUCAUUCCAUGUCUAGAAGAUAUCAAACACAGCCAAACUCACGGCAAUCAAGAGUUAGAGUGGCAGUUUCUAGGGAUUAGAGGAAGGGGAAAUAUAGAACUUCUGAAUAAAUAUAAAAUUGUAGUUUUGCAAGAUAAACACGUGUGAGAGAUGGUUUUCACGACAAUCUGAAUAUAUUUAACUCUACAUAUCUGCAUACUUAAAAAUGGUUAAGAUGAAUAAGUCCUAUGUGUUCUAUUUAUAUAUAAUCACAAUUAAUUUUUUUAAUUAAAAUUGUUUAAAAAUGGCAAAGGUCAGGUGCAGAGAUGCACAUUACCAACAACAGAACUGGAGAGUGGGAUGAAAUCCAAACACCCCAGAAGGGUGGGAGAGAAGACAGACUUGGGGAGUGGGCUGUGUACAUUCCAGCCUCUGGGCUCCUACCUGUCAUUGAAACCAGCUACACCGGAAAUGGAGCUGAAACAUGCUCAUUCGACUUCAGAAGCCUUUUCUGGCUCUCCUUCUUCUCCUUUGGCUACUUUCUAGGGAAAGAAAUGUCUUUAAAAGUAAGAUAUAUUUUUAUUAGAGAUCCUGUCUGUUAAUGUAUACCUUCAGAGUGCUGAUGGACUGGCCAAGACGUGCAGCACAUUUUGGAUGCUUUUAUAGGAAAGCUAAGACUUAUUUUUCUAAUAACUCUUUCAUCUGCACAUCUAGUUUUUCCAUUAGGAAAACGAAAAUAGCUUCUGGAAUUGCUUUUUUUUCCCCCUGCCACAAUAACAGACACCGCUGAGAGCUAGUCACUCUGGGACAUAUGUGGAAUAUGAUAGUGGUACUAUGAGAAUAGUCUCUCUUUACUCCACACCCUUUGGGCAGAAGGACAUUUUGUGACAUCUCCUUCACAGUUCCGGGUCAGAGAACAUCUUCCCUUGUGUGAGCGGAACGGAGAUAAUUUAUAACAUAUGCUGAGAUAAUGGACUGUGAUCUCUUUGAGGACAGAUAGCAUCUAUAAAUACUUUCAAUAACUCAAAAGAAUCUUGGACAUUUUUUUAAUGGUUUCUUUCCCUGAGACAUACUUGGUGAUUCUUUGUUGUUGGUGGGGAAGAAGGGGUGAAGAAUAAAUAUGAGUCAGGGUAGAGAUGAGAUUAAGCUGUACUAAUAAACAUCCCCCAAAUCCAUGCAUCUUAAAAAAAUGGGGGCGCAUUGUUCUUUCAUGCUACAUGUCCACUGAAGAUUGACGAUGGCUGUGCAUCCUGAUAUUGUCACAUGCGAUCCAUGCUAAUAGGGCAAUCUUUCUUUGGUCACUGUAACCAAGAGUACAAAAAGGUACAAAGAUCCAAGUUAUUUCUGGUCAGAAGUAGCACACCACUUUGUCCACAUUGCCUUGGGCCUAGCGAUUUUCAUGGCCUCCAAAUUCAACAGGAUAGGGUUGUAUGAUCAUCUUUCAGGGAGAACCCCCCCCCCAAAAAAAAAAUACAAUGAACUGAAAUAGUACAGAGGAAUAUACUCGACAGGUGGUUGAAGAGAUGGAGAGAGAGCAACUACCCCUCUCAUUAUUCGGGAACUUUAUAUACUCUUCUCAUUCAUUUGUCAUUCAGUCUUAACUACAGUAGGGGGGACACAUGUUGCUCUAUUUUUUUUGGGGGGGGGUAAAGUGGCUGACUUCAGACUGAUUCAGGAAGCUGCCUGAGGCCACAGAGUUAGUGUGUUUUAGAGAUGGAGUUUGCCUGUACCAGCGACUAACUCAGUAUCUAUGCUUUUCCCAAGCAACAGUGACUAUAACACUCAUGUGUGGACAAAAUAAAACCUAAAACACUUAUUUUGCAGACUGCUUUAUAAUGAAAUAACCCAAUAUAGACACAUGAGUUGGUUAGGCUGAUAGGAAACACAGGGUGAUGAGAUGGAUAGAAAUGAUGAUGUCCUUUCAGGAGUGCAACGGCGGUGGAAAAGCAAGAUUAUUACUCCACAUCAUAUAUUUUCCACAAGAGAAAAAAACGUGUGAGCCUCACUGACCAUCAAAAUUCAGCUGAUCAAACUCCUUUGAGACAAGUAUUUUAAAAAAUCACUAUUUUGGGAACAUAUAGUACUGAAUCACAUACAGAAGUAAAUCAUGUAUUUCCAGAAAUGGCUAGGAGUGAUGCUUUCUUACUCUUUAAUUAUAGUAAAUUCAUUAAUCAUACAAGAAGAACUUAUAAAAGCAAUGUAUUCAUAUCAAAGUCAAAGGCAGGUCAGGGAAAUCCCCCCUUUUGGAAGGUGUAUUAACAAUAUUUGAACCCUUGUUCAGAGAACUCACCACAGUGCCCCUCCCCCAAUUCUGUUUUAACUCUAUGUUAAGGACAUUAUU